rnacentral:rRNA from 1 species
CGUAGGGUGCAGGCGUUAAUCGGAAUUACUGGGCGUAAAGCGUGCGCAGGCGGUCUUUUAAGUCAGAUGUGAAAUCCCCGGGCUUAACCUGGGAACUGCGUUUGAAACUGGAAGGCUUGAGUGUGGCAGAGGGGGUGGAAUUCCACGUGUAGCAGUGAAAUGCGUAGAGAUGUGGAGGAACACCGAUGGCGAAGGCAGCCCCCUGGGCUAGCACUGACGCUCAUGCACGAAAGCGUGGGGAGCAAACAGGAUUAGAUACCCUGGUAGUCCACGCCCUAAACUAUGUCAACUGGUUGUCGGGGAAGCAAUUCCUUGGUAACGAAGCUAACGCGUGAAGUUGACCGCCUGGGGAGUACGGCCGCAAGGUUA